rnacentral:rRNA from 1 species
GACGAACGCUGGCGGCGUGCUUAACACAUGCAAGUCGAACGGAAAGGCCCUGCUUUUGUGGGGUGCUCGAGUGGCGAACGGGUGAGUAACACGUGAGUAACCUGCCCUUGACUUUGGGAUAACUUCAGGAAACUGGGGCUAAUACCGGAUAGGAGCUCCUGCUGCAUGGUGGGGGUUGGAAAGUUUCGGCGGUUGGGGAUGGUUUCGCGGCUUAUCAGCUUGUUGGUGGGGUAGUGGUUUACCAAGGGUUUGACGGGUAGCCGGCCUGAGAGGGUUACCGGCCACAUGGGGACUGCGAGACGGAGCAGACGGCUAUGGGAGGCAGCAGUGGGGAAUAUUGCACAAUGGGGGGACGCGUGAUGUAGAAAUGUUGCGAGCGGGAUGCUGGGCUACGGGUUGUAAACAGCUGUGGCCGGUGCUGAAGCGUUAGUGACGGUAAUGGGUAAAGAAGCACCGGCUAACUACGUG